CUAUCAUGCAGUCGAGGGGCAGCGCGGUAGCAAUACUGGCGGCGACCGGCAAACGGGUGCGGAACACGUACGCAACCUUCCUCUAAGCGGGAGAUAGCCCGGAGAAAUCCGGAUUAAUACCCCAUAGGAUUGUGGAUUGGCAUCAAUCAGCAAUUAAAGAUUUAUCACUUAGAGAUGGGCGUGCGUCUGAUUAGGUAGUUGGUGAGGUAACGGCUCACCAAGCCGACGAUCAGUAACUGGCGUGAGAGCGCGACCAGUCACACGGGCACUGAGACACGGGCCCGACUCCUACGGGAGGCAGCAGUAAGGAAUAUUGGUCAAUGGACGCAAGUCUGAACCAGCCAUGCCGCGUGGAGGAUGAAGGUCCUCUGGAUUGUAAACUUCUUUUAUCUGGGAAGAAAUGCUUUUUUUCUAAAGAGCUUGACGGUACCAGAUGAAUAAGCACCGGCUAACUCCGUGCCAGCAGCCGCGGUAAUACGGAGGGUGCAAGCGUUAUCCGGAUUCACUGGGUUUAAAGGGUGCGUAGGCGGAUUAGAAAGUCCGUUGUGAAAUCUCUGAGCUUAACUCGGAAAUUGCGGUGGAUACUAUUAGUCUUGAAUACUGUGGAGGUUAGCGGAAUAUGUCAUGUAGCGGUGAAAUGCAUAGAUAUGACAUAGAACACCAAUUGCGAAGGCAGCUGGCUACACAGAUAUUGACGCUGAGGCACGAAAGCGUGGGGAUCAAACAGGAUUAGAUACCCUGGUAGUCCACGCCCUAAACGAUGAUUACUCGACAUUUGCGAUACACAGCAAGUGUCUGAGCGAAAGCAUUAAGUAAUCCACCUGGGAAGUACGACCGCAAGGUUGAAACU
rnacentral:rRNA from 1 species